AAAGGAGAGACACUCUAACCUCCCCUCCCUCCCUCCCUCCCUUUCUCUCUCAAUCUCAAUUAUUUCCGAAGGGGGGGUUCGGCUCCAUCCGCGAAAAGCUGCUCCUCCGGAGGCUGAGUUGGCCCCUGCGCUUUCCGUUAUUCGCAUUUCACCCCUCGGAGUUUUACACUUGGGUACCCAUGCUCCGUAAAAACUAAUCACAAUCCAGUCCACUCCCUUCCCUCGGUCGCCGGCCAUGCCCACUCCGGUGCCCGCCGCCCGCCAGUGCCUCUCGCCGCCCGCCGUCACCGCCCCUGAC
rnacentral:lncRNA from 1 species